AUUGUUUGAUUUGAGUUUUGAACUUUUGAUACAGUCGCCUCUACUCGUAAUCUAUGAGCAAGAGGUAUAACAAUGGUGGUGAGAUGUCGUUUCAUUCGUCAUAUCGAUCCGUUGACAAUUCGAUUGUUGCUCCUCGACAU